rnacentral:rRNA from 1 species
CCUACGAGUGGCAGCAGUGGGGAAUAUUGCGCAAUGGGGGCAACCCUGACGCAGCAACGCCGCGUGAUUGAAGAAGGCCUUCGGGUUGUAAAGAUCUUUAAUCGGGGACGAAUUUUGACGGUACCUGACUAAGAAGCCCCGGCUAACUACGUGCCAGCAGCCGCGGUAAUACGUAGGGGGCAAGCGUUAUCCGGAUUUACUGGGUGUAAAGGGAGCGUAGACGGCAGCGCAAGUCUGGAGUGAAAUCCCAUGGCUUAACCAUGGAACUGCUUGGGAAACUGUGCAGCUGGAGUGCAGGAGAGGUAAGCGGAAUUCCUAGUGUAGCGGUGAAAUGCGUAGAUAUUAGGAGGAACACCAGUGGCGAAGGCGGCUUACUGGACUGUAACUGACGUUGAGGCUCGAAAGCGUGGGGAGCAAACAGGAUUAGAUACCCGGGUAGUC